AAAGGGGGCUUCGGCUUCCGGUUGAGGAGGAGUCUAUUUCCUAUUAGCUUGUUGGUGCGGUAACGGCGCACCAAGGCUGUGAUGGGUAGGGGGCCUUAGCGGGUGGCCCUCCACACUGGGACUGAGACACUGCCCAGGUUCCUACGGGAGGCUGCAAUCGAGAAUCCUCCGCAAUGGGCGAAAGCCUGACGGGGUGACGCCGCGUGACCGAUGAAGGCUCUUACGGGUCGUAAAGGUCUUACAGGGAGUAUGAAAUAUACUGGGGCUAAUAUCUCCAGUAUUUGACGUCAAUCUCAAAUGAAGUCACGGCUAAAUUUGUGCCAGCAGCCGCGGUAAGACAAAUGUGGCAAGCGUUGUUCGGAAUCACUGGGCAUAAAGGGCACGUAGGCGGCGUAGUAAGUUAACUGUGAAAUCCCCCGGCUCAACCGGGGAACUGCAGUUAAUACUGCUGUGCUAGAGUGCAGAAGAGGAGAGUGGAAUUCUAGGUGUAGCGGUGGAAUGCGAAGAUAUCUAGGAGAAGGCCGGUGGCGAAAGCGACUCUCUGGUCUGUUACUGACGCUGAGGUGCGAGAGCGCAGGUAGCGAACGGGAUUAGAUACCCCGGUAGUCUGUGCCGUAAACGAUGGGCACUAGAUGGUGGAGGCGCCGAUAGCUUUCUCCGUCGCAGCUAAUACGUUAAGUGCCCCGCCUGGGGAGUAUGGCCGCAAGGUUAAAACUCAAAGGAAUUGACGGGGGCCCACACAAGCGGUGGAGGAUGUGGCUUAAUUCGAGGAUACCCGUAAAACCUUACCGAGGCUUGACAUGCAGGUGGUAGUGAAGUGAAAGCGGAACGACCCGAAUAGGGAGCCUGCACAGGUGCUGCAUGGCUGUCGACAGCUCGUGUCGUGAGAUGUUAGGUUAAGUCCUGUAACGAGCGAAACCCUUGUGCUUAAUUGCCAGCGCGUUAUGGCGGGGACCUUAAGCAGACUGCCCCGGCCAACGGGGAGGAAGGUGGGGAUGACGUCAAGUCAGCAUGGCCUUUAUGCCUCGGGCUGCACACGUCCUACAAUGGGCUGUACAAUGGGGACCCAAACCGCAAGGUGGAGGAAAUCCUAUAAAG
rnacentral:rRNA from 1 species